GCUGUAGCUCGGUGGCAGGACAUCUGCUUUGCAUGCAGAAUGUCCCAGGUUAAAUUCCCAGGAUCUGCA